rnacentral:SRP_RNA from 1 species
GCCAGGCACAGUGGCACGUGCCUGUAGUCCCAGCUACUCAGGAGACUGAGGCUGGAGGAUCCCUUGAGUCCAGGAGGUCUGGGCUGUAGUGCACUAUGCCGAUCAGGUGUCCACACUAAGUUUGGCAUCAAUAUGGUGACCUCCUGGGAGCAGGGGACCCACCAGGUUGCCUAAGGUGGGGUGAACCAGCCCAGGUCGGAAACAGAGGAGGUCAAAACUCCCUUGCUGAUCAGUAGUGGGAUCGUGCCUGUGAAUAAGCCACUGCACUCCAGCCUGGGCAACAUAGCAAGACCCUGUCUCU